rnacentral:sRNA from 1 species
ACAUAUCCACCGUUUGUAGUACAAUCCUCUGUGUGAGCUGAACCACUCGUUUGAUCAUCUUGUGCCAGAUUGUUUUGAGGUUGGUUUGGCAUCAGUAACAGUGCAUCGUCAGUGGUUUCAGCUCCACUAGCGCCCGAAGGGGAUAAUCUCGACAAAGUUCCCGGAAGCGGUAUUGAUAUUGGCCGUCGGACGUUCAACGUAUAGGGCUUAAACUUACCAUUUAAAUGGUCAUGAAGCCUCUCACGCGCAGAGUAAGAUCGAAAUGGAACCCGAUCAACGAGACCAAUGUUCUGUUGAUCAAGAAGUGCCCAACGCUUCAACAUUCUGCUAAGAUUGUCGUUUGAACCUUGUGUUGUAUCGGAAGGCACAUUGUUAUCUCUGACCGGUCUAGAAACAGUAUUUGGGCUGAGAUCGUCAACAUUUCUAGUUUUCGCCGGCCAUGGGGAUGUUGACGAUGUCAUCAAGCUGGGUUGACUGGUGUGUGAGGAGUCUGUAGGGCUGUAACUGGAUUCGGUUUGCUGGCCCUCCCUUGCAUGUUCAGAUUUCUGCGUCCAUGGCUCCUGAUAUUUAACAUCAAGAGACGGUCUAGAUGAAGAAGCAAACCCGGAACUCCUAAUCUUUUCAACUCCAAGAUAUAAUUCUUGCUUCUCCCUGGCUUCAACGUACGGAUCGAUUAAAGGCCCAUACGAGCAGUCCGCUACAUCUCCGGGCCCAUUACGUUGAGGGUAUUUCCACGAGGGGCCUGGUACUAUGGGACCCUUAGUUGCCGCCGGGUCAUUGUCUCGCAUACGGUACCACAAACUUCCGCUUCGAAACCCCCCCAAAGAACUUCCAUCGCACGCCCUAUUUUGUGAAUUUUCUGGAAUGCGAUUGUUCUCCGCUACUUGGAAAAAAUUAUGAUAUCUAUUGUCAUCGGGGAUUUGAGCGUACUUAUCGAUUAUAGAUGC